rnacentral:misc_RNA from 1 species
AUAUUUCUUGAAUUUCUCAUCCUGGUGGUCCUUCUUCCCAGCCCAAGGUUUCUUGCCAUUCCCUUCUUUCGGUCAUUCCUUAUAACUCUCCUUACCGCCACCUUUCUCUCCACCAUUCUUGCCCUUGCCAUCCUUAGUUUUGGACUUGUCACCCUUCUUAUACUCCACAAGUGACUUGGCAAUUGUAAUGGCAGCAACAAGGUCUUGG